UCGAGUUUUGAAGUGGGCUUGAUGCUGGCUUCUUCGUUGAAGUACGUGCUCAGCUCUGACUCAAUCUACUCUACACCUGUGCACUUUCAAAGUCGUAGUCCUCCGUCAUGGGAGCCGCGGUUCGUUCACUCGAGCCGUCGGGAUUACUGCUUUGCCCCUUUACAUCACAAACUAUAUGCUAAGUCUUGUAGAAUGAACUCAGUCUCUAGUAGACGAAAUAUAAUA
rnacentral:misc_RNA from 1 species